UGCGGGGUGGAGCAGUCAGGUCAGCUCGUUGGGCUCAUAACCCAGAGGUCGUCGGUUCGAAUCCGACCCCCGCUA
rnacentral:tRNA from 1 species